rnacentral:rRNA from 1 species
GACGAACGCUGGCGGCGUGCUUAACACAUGCAAGUCGAACGGUAAGGCCCUUCGGGCUACACGAGUGGCGAACGGGUGAGUAACACGUGGGUAAUCUGCCCUGCACUUCGGGAUAAGCCUGGGAAACUGGGUCUAAUACCGGAUAUUCAGUUCCUGCCGCAUGGUGGGGGUUGGAAAGUUUUUCGGUGCAGGAUGAGCCCGCGGCCUAUCAGCUUGUUGGUGGGGUAAUGGCCUACCAAGGCGACGACGGGUAGCCGGCCUGAGAGGGUGAUCGGCCACACUGGGACUGAGACACGGCCCAGACUCCUACGGGAGGCAGCAGUGGGGAAUAUUGCACAAUGGGCGAAAGCCUGAUGCAGCGACGCCGCGUGAGGGAUGACGGUCUUCGGAUUGUAAACCCCUUUCAGUAGGGACGAAGCGCAAGUGACGGUACCUGCAGAAGAAGCACCGGCCAACUACGUG